UCACACGGCUGUUUUGAUCGGGAAAUCGAAAAAUGGUGGUGUUCGGAUGCCUUAUUGAUAAGAAAUUUUUCUGUGAUGUCGUUGUAUAUGAUAUCGUUGCGUAUGGAUGAUAUCCCCAAGCUGCUGGCGGAGUACAAAUAACUGUAACCAAACUCUGUUUGAAUUAACCAUAGACCAGCUGAAAUAUAAUUAUGAAAACAUUUUAGGUAAACUGGUUUACAUCAAUAUCCCCUUGCUGUAAUAUAUCAUGAGAUAGUGUUGGUGACACUGUUGAUUGAUUAUAUUAUUAUAUAAAUUACAAAAGAAUCUAUUGUAGUUUGCCUUGAUUGUUCUGCUCCAAAAGCUUGAACUAACAAUAGACGGAGCUCUGCACAAAGUGGCGCCUCCAAGUUAUGUUUGCUAGUAGUAGACAUCUCUUGUCACCACAGGAUAAGAAAGACGAAGUAGAAGCCAAAAUAGAGAUCGACAUUGUAUUGACAGCCGCGACAAGUGCACGGGCAAAUUCAAGUCAAGGAAGGACAUUCAAUGUUUCCAUUGCAAAAAGAAGGGCCACAUGAAUUGUCAUUUUUUCAAAAGAGACCAAGAAAAGAGCAAAAUCAAAGGUGAAAGGAGGAGGCUGUAGCUGAAGGUGACAGUUAUUGUUUGUGACGAUGGUUGUUUUAGCCUCACAUGCCAAGAUAGUAGCAGUUGGUCAUGGACUCAUGUGCCUCAUUUCAUGUAACCUCAAAUGUUGCUGAAAGAUGUGAACCUCAUUCUAAUUUCCAUUGGCAAGCUAAGCUUGAUGAUGAAGGUUAUAAGAAUCACUUUAGUGAUGGCAGGUGGGCUCUGACUAAGCAUUGGGUUCCUUAGUGAUUGGCAGAGGAAAGAAAGCAAAUUCUCUUUGUGUUCUGAAAAGGUAGAAGUUAACACAUUUGAAGAUGCCUCUGUUGAAAUUUGGCAGUGAGAAGGGAUUUCAGAUGCUAUGCAGACUUGUACUCAUUGUUUGGCUGAAAAGCAUAAAAUUACAUUAAUUCGGAUAUUUCAGACAUUUCCUCCAUCAAGAAAGUCAAACUUACUGGACUCGGUUCACACUGUUGUCCGCUACAUUAAGGAGAAUACUCUUGGUGAUUAUCUAUGUUGUGUUACCUUAGACAUUUCCCCCACCAAGAAAGUUAAACUUACUAAACUUGGUUCACACUGUUGUCUGCUACAUUAAGGAGAAUACUCUUGGUGGUUA